AUUGAACGCUGGCGGCAGGCCUAACACAUGCAAGUCGAGCGGGGUUUUCGGACCUAGCGGCGGACGGGUGAGUAAUGCGUAGGAAGCUACCCGAUAGAGGGGGAUACCAGUUGGAAACGACUGUUAAUACCGCAUAAUGUCUACGGACCAAAGUGUGGGACCUUCGGGCCACAUGCUAUCGGAUGCGCCUACGUGGGAUUAGCUAGUUGGUGAGGUAAUGGCUCACCAAGGCGACGAUCCCUAGCUGGUUUGAGAGGAUGAUCAGCCACACUGGAACUGAGACACGGUCCAGACUCCUACGGGAGGCAGCAGUGGGGAAUAUUGGACAAUGGGCGCAAGCCUGAUCCAGCCAUGCCGCGUGUGUGAAGAAGGCCUUCGGGUUGUAAAGCACUUUCAGUAGGGAGGAAGCGUUGAGUGUUAAUAGUACUCAGCGUUGACGUUACCUACAGAAGAAGCACCGGCUAACUCUGUGCCAGCAGCCGCAGUAAAAC
rnacentral:rRNA from 1 species